rnacentral:rRNA from 1 species
UACAGAGGGUGCAAGCGUUAAUCGGAAUUACUGGGCGUAAAGCGUGCGUAGACGGUCAUGUAAGUCGGGUGUGAAAGCCCCGGGCUCAACCUGGGAAUUGCAUUCGAGACUGCAUGGCUAGGGUGCGGAAGAGGGAAGCGGAAUUUCCGGUGUAGCGGUGAAAUGCGUAGAUAUCGGAAGGAACAUCAGUGGCGAAAGCGGCUUCCUGGUCCAGCACCGACGUUCAGGCACGAAAGCGUGGGGAGCAAACAGG